rnacentral:misc_RNA from 1 species
GAUGAAGAACGUAGCAAAAUGCGAUAAGUAAUGUGAAUUGCAGAAUUCAGUGAAUCAUCGAAUCUUUGAACGCACCUUGCGCCCUUUGGCUAUUCCGAAGGGCAUGCCUGUUUGAGUAUCAUGAACACCUCAACUCUCAUGGUUUGCCAUGAUGAGCUUGGACUUUGGGGGUCUUGCCGGCCUAUGGGUCGGCUCCUCUCAAAUUAAUCAGCUUGCCAGUGUUUGGUGGCAUCACAGGUGUGAUAACUAUCUACGCUUGUGGUUUUCCAUCAGGUAACCUUCAGUGAUGGAGGUUCGCUGGGGCUCAUAAAUGUCUCUCCUCAGUGAGGACAGCUUUUUUGAACGUUUGAUCUCAAAUCAGGUAGGACUACCCGCUGAACUUAAGCAUAUCAAUAAGCGGAGGA